rnacentral:rRNA from 1 species
UACGUAGGGUGCAAGCGUUGUCCGGAAUUAUUGGGCGUAAAGAGCUCGUAGGCGGUUUGUUGCGUCGGCUGUGAAAUCCCGAGGCUCAACCUCGGGCCUGCAGUCGAUACGAGCAAACUAGAGUGUUGCAGGGGAGACUGGAAUUCCUGGUGUAGCGGUGAAAUGCGCAGAUAUCAGGAGGAACACCGGUGGCGAAGGCGGGUCUC